rnacentral:rRNA from 1 species
AUUGAACGCUGGCGGCAGGCCUAACACAUGCAAGUCGAGCGAGAGGCGGACGGGUGCGUAAUGUCUGGGCAACUGCCUGCUGGAGGGGGAUAACUACUGGAAACGGUAGCUAAUACCGCAUACCAUCAGAUGUGGCCAGAUGGGAUUAGCUAGGAGGUGUGGUAACGGCUCACCUAGGCGACGAUCACUAGCUGGUCUGAGAGGAUGACCAACCACACUGAAACUGAGACACGGUCCAGACUCCUACGGGAGGCAGCAGUGGGGAAUAUUGCACAAGGGGCGCAAGCCUGAUGCAGCCAUGCCGCGUGUGUGAAGAAGGCCUUCGGGUUGUAAAGCACUUUCAGCGGGGAGGCGUUACCCGCAGAAGAAGCACCGGCUAACUCCGUGCCAGCAGCCGCGGUAAUUC